GCCCAGCUGGCUCAGCUGGUAGAGCAUGUGACUCUUGAUCUUGGGGUUGUGAGUUUAAGCCCCACGUUGAGUG
rfam:Canis lupus familiaris chromosome 5, whole genome shotgun sequence.